rnacentral:rRNA from 1 species
UAGCGUAGGGUCCGAGCGUUGUUCCGGAAUUACUGGGCGUAAAGAGCUCGUAGGUGGUUUGUCGCGUUGUCCGUGAAAACUCACAGCUCAACUGUGGGGCGUGCGGGCGAUACGGGGCAAGACUGGAGUACUGCAGGGGAGACUGGAAUUCCUGGUGUAGCGGUGAAAAUGCGCAGACUAUCAGGAGGAACACCGGUGGCGAAGGCGGAUCUCUGGGCCAUUACUGACGUGGAGGAAGCG